rnacentral:rRNA from 1 species
AUUGAACGCUGGCGGCAGGCCUAACACAUGCAAGUCGAGCGGAUGAAGGGAGCUUGCUCCUGGAUUCAGCGGCGGACGGGUGAGUAAUGCCUAUGAAUCUGCCUGGUCGUGGGGGAUAACGUCCGGAAACGGGCGCUAAUACCGCAUACGUCCUGUGGUAGAAAUUGGGGGAUCUUCGGACCUCACGCUUUCAGAUUAGCCUAGGUCGGAUUAGCUAGUUGGUGGGGUAACGGCCUACCAAGGCGACGAUCCGUAACUGGUCUGAGAGGAUGAUCAGUCACACUGGAACUGAGACACGGUCCAGACUCCUACGGGAGGAAGCAGCGGAGAAUAUUGGGCAAUGGGCGAAAGCCUGAUACAGCCAUGCCGCGUGUGUGAAGAAGGUCUUCGGAUUGUAAAGCACUUUAAGUUGGGAGGAAGGGAAGUAAGUUAAUACCUUGCUGUUUUGACGUUACCAACAGAAUAAGCACCGGCUAACUUCGUG